rnacentral:tmRNA from 1 species
UCACUUCCCAUUAAGCCGCGAACGCCUAUAUUGGUAGGCGUCGGCUUCGGCUGACUAUGACGAUAAACGGUGUCGUGUAAUAGACACAGCGGACCCGGGGGCAGUACCCGGCGGCUCCACCAGAUGGGGCGUCCUUCGACAGGCUCAGGAUGAGCGGAGAAAAGGGACGCCCGAAUUGAUGGGGCCGAACCAGGAUCGACGUGUGUUGAAAGACGUUACUUUUCGUCCGGCCUGAAUGCGCCGCAAAACCGUUCAAAACUCAUAAGAGCCAACGAUAACGAAGCUCUUGCGAUUGCUGCGUAACCCACGACCUAACGGUCUAAGUUACUAAGACAAAAGCGCGGGUGGACCGCCCCGGGCAACAGAAGCGGAAACC